rnacentral:misc_RNA from 1 species
GACCAACUAUGUCGAGCAUUACGGGCUGACGCGCCGUUAUCUCGGCCACGGUCGCUAUGAGCACGUGCUGCCCCGCCACAGCUGGAACGCGGCGCAUACGGCAUCGAACUGGCUGCUCAUCAACCUGCAGCGCCAUUCCGACCAUCAUUACAAGCCCGACCGCCGCUUCCCCUUGCUGCAGACCUAUGGCGAGGACGAGGCGCCGCAGCUUCCGCUGGGCUAUCCG